CACCUCCUCAGUCAGUGUUGGCAUUUGCAACUCUACAAUAUUGUUUUCUACAUAUAUUUGGUUUUGUUGGUUAUAAUCAUACAGAUUGUUAACAAAUUUAGUUCAACUAUUGACACUUAAAAACUUUCUCAUGUUAACCUGUAGUUUAAUAUCUUUCUAGGCCAGGCGCUGUGGCUCAUGCCUGUAAUCCCACACUCUGGGAGGCCAAGGCAGGCGGAUCACCUGAAGUUAGGAGUUCAAAACCAGCCUGGCUACCAUGGUGUAUUUUUAGUCUCUACUAAAAGUACAAAAAAAUUAGCCGGGUGUGGUGGCAGGUGCUGUAGUCCCAGCUAUUUAGGAGGCUGAGGCAGGAGAACUGCUUGAACCUGGGAGGCAGAGAUUGCAGUGAGCCAAGAUCACGCCACUGCACUCCAGCCUGAGCAACAAAGUGAGACUCCCAUCUCAAAAAAAAUAAAAUAAAAUAAAAAAUAAAAGUAAAAAUAUAUUUCUUUUAUGUUUUAAGGGAAAAAUAAUUCAUCAUCUCCCACAGCAGGCUGACACACGCCUCGCUUUGAACAUGGCCAGAUCUAUGUUAACUGUAUAACAAAUACUGAAUGGCCUUUUUAUCUCCACCAUUCCUUGUGGUUGUAAUUUACAUACUAGAUUUUUUUUUUCUUAAACAUUACAUGGUUCACUGUAGAAAAACAUGUAAUGGUGGCACAACAUUUCAUCAAGAGGCCGGGCGUGGUGGCUCACACCUGUAAUCCCAGCACUUUGGGAGGCCGAGGUGGGCAGAUCACCUGAGGUCAGGAGUUUGAGAC
rnacentral:lncRNA from 1 species